UGGGGAAUUUUGGACAAUGGGCGAAAGCCUGAUCCAGCAAUGCCGCGUGUGUGAAGAAGGCCUUCGGGUUGUAAAGCACUUUUGUCCGGAAAGAAAUCCUUGGCUCUAAUACAGUCGGGGGAUGACGGUACCGGAAGAAUAAGCACCGGCUAACUACGUGCCAGCAGCCGCGGUAAUACGUAGGGUGCAAGCGUUAAUCGGAAUUACUGGGCGUAAAGCGUGCGCAGGCGGUUUGCUAAGACCGAUGUGAAAUCCCCGGGCUCAACCUGGGAACUGCAUUGGUGACUGGCAGGCUAGAGUAUGGCAGAGGGGGGUAGAAUUCCACGUGUAGCAGUGAAAUGCGUAGAGAUGUGGAGGAAUACCGAUGGCGAAGGCAGCCCCCUGGGCAAUACUGACGCUCAUGCACGAAAGCGUGGGGAGCAAACAGGAUUAGAUACCCUGGUAGUCCACGCCCUAAACGAUGUCAACUAGUUGUUGGGGAUUCAUUUCCUUAGUAACGUAGCUAACGCGUGAAGUUGACCGCCUGGGGAGUACGGUCGCAAGAUUAAAACUCAAAGGAAUUGACGGGGUCAUAGCUG
rnacentral:rRNA from 1 species